rnacentral:rRNA from 1 species
UGGAUCGCCCUUAGAGUUUGAUCCUGGCUCAGGAUGAACGCUAGCGGCAGGCUUAACACAUGCAAGUCGAGGGGCAGCGCGAGUAGCAAUACUUGGCGGCGACCGGCGCAAGGGUGCGUAACGCGUGAGCAACAUGCCCGUAUCAGGGGGAUAAUCCAGGGAAACUUGGUCUAAUACCCCAUAGUAAUUUUGUAAGGCAUCUUAUGGAAUUUAAAGCUUUGGUGGAUACGGAUUGGCUCGCGUGACAUUAGCUGGAUGGUAAGGUAACGGCUUACCAUGGCUAUGAUGUCUAGGGGUUCUGAGAGGAAGGUCCCCCACACUGGAACUGAGACACGGUCCAGACUCCUACGGGAGGCAGCAGUGAGGAAUAUUGGACAAUGGAUGGAAAUCUGAUCCAGCCAUGCCGCGUGAAGGAAGAAGGUCCUAUGGAUUGUAAACUUCUUUUGUAUGGGAGCAAUAAGGCCUACGAGUAGGUUGAUGAGAGUACCAUACGAAUAAGCACCGGCUAACUCCGUGCCAGCAGCCGCGGUAAUACGUAGGGGGCGAGCGUUAUCCGGAUUUAUUGGGUUUAAAGGGUGCGUAGGCGGUUUGAUAAGUCAGCGGUGAAAUAUUUCAGCUUAACUGGAAGGGUGCCGUUGAUACUGUCGAGCUUGAAUUUAGUUGCUGUGGGGUGGAAUGUGUGGUGUAGCGGUGAAAUGCAUAGAUAUCACACAGAAUAUCGAUUUGCGAAGGCAGCUCACAAAGCUAAAUAUUGACGCUGAUGCACGAAAGUGUGGGGAUCAAACAGGAUUAGAUACCCUGGUAGUCCACACUGUAAACGAUGAUAACUCGCUGUCGGCGAUACAUAAUUCGGUGGUCAAGCGAAAGCGAUAAAGUUAUCCACCUGGGGAGUACGACCGCAAGGUUGAAACUCAUAAGGAAUUGACGGGGGCCCGCACAAGCGGAAGAACAUGUGGUUUAAUUCCAUGAUACGCGAAGAAAC